rnacentral:rRNA from 1 species
GAUGAACGCUGGCGGCGUGCCUAACACAUGCAAGUCGAACGGAGUCCAACCUCUAAGACCUUCGGGUCAAAGAGGGGAAGACUGAGUGGCGGACGGGUGAGUAACACGUGGGCAACCUGGCUCAUAGAGGGGGAUAACAGAGAGAAAUUUCUGCUAAUACCGCAUAAGCACACACUGCCGCAUGGCAGAGUGUGAAAAGAGAAUCGCUAUGAGAUGGACCCGCGUCUGAUUAGCCAGUUGGCAGGGUAAGAGCCUACCAAAGCGACGAUCAGUAGCCGAUCUGAGAGGAUGAACGGCCACAUUGGGACUGAGACACGGCCCAAACUCCUACGGGAGGCAGCAGUGGGGGAUAUUGCACAAUGGGGGGAACCCUGAUGCAGCGACGCCGCGUGAGUGAAGAAGUAUUUCGGUAUGUAAAGCUCUAUCAGCAGGGAAGAUAA